rnacentral:rRNA from 1 species
GACGAACGCUGGCGGCGUGCUUAACACAUGCCAGUCGAACGGAAAGGCCCUGCUUGCAGGGUACUCGAGUGGCGAACGGGUGUGUAACACGUGGGUGAUCUGCCCUGCACUUCGGGAUAAGCCUGGGAAACUGGGUCUAAUACCGGAUAGGAGCCAUUUUUAGUGUGAUGGUUGGAAAGUUUUUUCGGUGUAGGAUGAGCUCGCGGCCUAUCAGCUUGUUGGUGGGGUAAUGGCCUACCAAGGCGGCGACGGGUAGCCGGACUGAGAGGGUGGACGGCCACAUUGGGACUGAGAUACGGCCCAGACUCCUACGGGAGGCAGCAGUGGGGAAGAUUGCACAAUGGGCGCAAGCCGGAUGCAGCGACGCCGCGUGGGGGAUGACGGUCUUCGGGUUGAAAACUCCUUUCGCUAGGGACGAAGCUUUUUGUGACGGUACCUAGAUAAGAAGCACCGGCUAACUACGUG